GCGGCGCGUGCGGCAGAUGGAGUCUAUUAGUUUUAAUAAAGAGUUAGGGCAAGUUUAGGGCACUGUGGCAGCAUUGAGAUAAAGUCUGGUUCCUCCCCAGCUCGCUCAGGAAAUGUUCGUGGAUACAAUGGCGGCCCCCUUUGGGCAUACCUGCCUGUGGAGCGGAGACUGGACAGGUGACCACAGUGUGAACGGGAACAGCAAGAUGGGAAAGGCUUGCUGAGUAAGUGGCACAGCACCAGCCUGGGUAGCGGCCUCCCCAGCAAGUUGCAUGUAACUAGCUUCCUGUGGCUGUCACUGCUGGGCCCAGGCACCUCCGAAGAUCAGCGCCUCCUCUGGGGCUCAAGCGAGGGCAGGAGCCCGUCACCCAUGAGCUUGCAAGGGCAGAGCCACUGUCCUGUCUCGACGGUUCUACCAUGACUCCAGUGGACUUUGGACAGUGGGGAGCAGGCCCAACAGGGCCACUCGUGUGUGGUAACUCUGGCUUUGGGUGGAUCAGGACCACGCUGGACUUCAUCCCCAGUCCCCAGGUGCUGUUGCUACUCCUGCCCGAGACCCCAUCCACAGCUGCAGCUGUGUGGCGGGGUGGCUGGUGGUGGCCAGCGUGGCCCUGCUGCAGCUCCAUGCUGGGGAGGGGCGUGGCCCCGAUGAGCAGCCACCCCUCCAUGUGGGCCACAGGGGAGGAGCCUAGGAAGCCACCCUGACAAGAUGAGUGGACGCAUUUAUGUGGUGAGAGGUCCUGCAGGCUCUGCAUCUGGUGUGGAAGAGCUCACGGUAAAGCACUCCUGCCUAGGACCUGAGGAGCCGGCCACUGUUCAGAAGGCCCCAGCUUGAAGGACUAGAGAGCCGCCCAGCAGCACAACACAGGCAGGCUUUCAGAGUCAUGGGAUGUGUGUGCCUGUCGAGCACCUCUUCAACUUGGAAUCUUAUAGAACACCGCUACCCUCAUUGCCUCGGUUUUCCACGUCGACCUUCACAGUCAUUGCUUGUUCAGUAACUGCCACAACCCAGCCUGGCAGAGAGAGGGAAGAUACCCUAUAAAGCAAGGUAAUGUUAACGUUGAGACCAUGAAUGGCCUUGAGCAGAGCAGAGCAUCACUGCUUCCUUCAACAUUAAGGAGGAUCUGAUGGUGCCCUGUGAGUUCAUGGGGGUGCCUCCGUGUAGAUUGGAAACCACAGCUCUGCGUCCUUCCCUCUUUUGCUCUUGAUGGGUAGAAAGGUACCCUCCCUGGCCUGCACGUCGCCGGGUCACACAGCACCGGCUGUGGUUGCAUAAAACCAUCGCUACCGGUAUUCCUUUGAGGCCAUUUGUUUCCAGCCAUGGUGCCUGUAGGAUUUUUCCUUUAUCCUGUAAUUUCAGCCAAAUCAGAGCAUGUGACCUGGCUUAGAUGUCAAGAUAACUGUUAUGUGCUCUUUUCCCUUCCUGUGUCUGGGACAGGUUUAAUUUAACCUGAGAAGGCUGCAGAUCCUUGGGGUUGGUGUAAAAACAUCCUGAUCUGAGAAGGCAGUCAGCUUUUCUCAUUGUUGCCCUUGGCUGACAGCACCCAUUCUCUGUGGAUGUGAAAAUCCCAGAAAGGCUGGGCUUCCUCCUUGGGCAUUCCCAAGGCCUAUCUCCAGAGUGGGGCCCAGCAUGGGAAGAGUGUACCCCACUCACUCCCCUGAUGUGGGGCUUGGACCUGCAGCUCGACAGCACCCAUGGAAUGUGGGCAGAAGCGACAGCAGCCAGGUCCACCUCAGCCUUAGGGCGGCACGUGUUCUGCUUGUACUCUGGGAGCCUCCACCUUCCAUGCUGUGGGAAGAGGGUGCCCAGGGAGCUGCAGUCCCUCCAGCCCAGUCCCAGGACGAGGCCCAGGCAGCAGAGCCAUCCCAGCUGACCUGCCAGCGUGAGAGAAAUGCGUGUGUACACACUGAGUGUUCAGGUGGCUGUUGUAACAGCAUUGGCAGCAUUGACUGACACAGACAGAAAAGAGAUCCGCGAGGGAGAAGUGAGAGUGCUGGAGACUCCACAGGCCACAGGCCGCAGGGGCACGAUGGCUUCUGAGGAGGUGAAACGAUUCUGGGAAUAAUGUCACUCGAUCUGACAGAAGACAUGAAGGCUCCAGAUGGUUGAAGGCCCAGCAGUGAUCCCAGACAGGCCCCAUGUCAGACCAGCCUCCUCCAGGGCUGUGCUGCCGUCUCCAAAGCCCAUGCUGAGGGCAGCCACACGGCAGGCAGUGCUUGCCAUUUGUACAGUGAGGCCCAAGUUCCAGCCUUCCUUCUGGCAGGUAGAGGAAGCAGGGGCACUGCCUGGGAGCACCUGAAAGCAGAUGGGGCAGCAUUUGGUCAAGAGCCAGGAGGGGAUGACAGACCAGAGGGGAACCCUUGUCCUACGUGCUGAGCGCAUGUGGGGGGCUGGACACUUGUUCUGUGCGCUAUAAUUGUGUCCCUGUGCCCCUCUGGAAGCUGCACCACACAGCUUCUUGGUGGAGGACAGUGGCCGCCCUCUAGCGUUACUCCCUUCCCCGUGAUGGGUCGCUGUCAGAUGUGUGUCCAGGAAAGGCAAACACCAAAGGCAGAGGACUAAUUCCUACACCAAAUCCUCUGGUGGCCUCGCGUGGGGACUGGAUUUUGACAUAAUGGAGGCUGUCCUAGACUCAGAGAUUGCAAACAGGGAAGAACCAUCGCUGAAGCCUUUGGACAAGCCUGCAGUGGGGCCUCUGGCAGCCGGAGGAGCGGCGGUGUUUCCAGCUGGUAGACGCCGUCCCAAAAGGAGGGACAGAUCAGUGCACUAGCGCUGCCAGCCAGAGGUGUCUGUCGGCGUGUCUUUAUGGAAUGGGCGCCAGUCUUGGUGAGGGUGGUUUACCUUCCUAUUUCUAGUCCCCACUGGGCCCACCUUCUGCUUCAUGACCAGCUGGCCAGACCUAGCACUUUCCUGACCUUUGACCUUGGCCCCUGCUGACUCUUGGCCUUGAGGCCUCCUGCAGACCCCAUUUGUAUUCAUUUCCUGCAGUUCUCAUACCUGAAUCUCGCCUGGACUUCUGCCAAGCCCUCCAGGCCCUCUUCCCCCAGGGGGACCACAGAUGAUCCUAUGUGCAGGGCUGUCUUGGAGGGCCAGCACAGCCCCUUCCAAGCGGGCAAGACCCAGGGGUGGCUCAAAAAAUAGCUGUGCCCUCACCCCGGAACCUCUGAAUGUUGAUUUUUGUAGCAAAAAAGGAUGCAGAUGUUGAGUAAAGGCUGGUGAGAUAAGGACAUCAUCCCUGCUCUCUGGGAGGACCCCAAAUGCAGGCACACACAUCAGAAGACGAGGCAGCGACUGGGGUGAUGCAGCCACAGCCAAGGAAGGCCAAGGAUUGCUGGCAGCCUGGAGAAACUGGAGGGCAAGAAGCGUCCCCGCAGAGCCACCAGGAGGAGCAGGGUCCUGCUGACAUCCUGACUGCAGACGUCCAGUCUCCAGAACUGUGAGAGAAUCCAUUUCUAUUAUUUUAAGCAACCAAACUUGUGGUAGUUAAAGCAGCCUCAGGAAAUAAAUACAAAUGGAAAAUCAAAAAGAUUCCAAGACAUGAGUGGACCUGGCCGGGUGCAGUGGCUCACGCCUGUAAUCCCAGCAUUUGCGGGAAGAUUGCUUGAGCUCAGGAGUUGGAGACCUUGUCUCUACGAGAAACUUAAAAAAUAGCUGGGUGCGGUGGCUCACGCCUGUAAUCCCAGCACUUUGGGAGGCCGAGGCAGGCAGAUCACAAGGUCAUGAGUUUGAGGCCAGUGUGACCAAUAUGGUGAAACCCCCGUCUCUACUAAAAAUUCAAAAAUUAGCCAGGUAUGGUGCUGUGUGCCUGUAAUCCCAACUACCCAGGAGGCCGAGGCAGGAGAAUCGCUUGAACCCGGGAAGCAGAGGUUGCAGUGAGCCAGAUAGCGUCACUGCGCUCCAGCCUGGGCAACGCUGUGCUUCAAAACUCUGCCUCAAAAA